rnacentral:ncRNA from 1 species
CAGACGCUAUUAACGAUAUCGCCAAUAGCGCUGCGUAUGUCCGUGAAAAUAUAUCAUACAUUCAUGGACUACGCAAACGCCCGCCCUCGGCCUGGUGGGGGAGCCAAUUACCCCCACAGGUAAAAUCUCCUGACCAACUAGCUCACUGACUAAUUUUAAAUUGUCCUGUCUUACUUGUUUUACACGUGCUCUGUGGCGGGGCCAUUUACACCCCGUCGCAACACAACCUGUAAAUACUUGUGUAUGUCUGUUUAUGUCCUAAUUUAUUAUUUUAAACAGAUUUUGGCCAUGGUCUCGGCCAACCAAUUAAAGUCAGUGAUGCAAGUCACAAUGCGGAGCAAGAGACCUAGGCGUGAAUUUAUUGCUGGCAUGCGGCGCCGGAGCCGGUCAUCUGCUAAGGGGAGCAAUGGCCGGGCGGAUACCUCCACGUGGUUCCCUGUGGGUGGCCCGUCGAGGACGGUAACCAGCAAAACUCCGUAAAGUCCUUCUCACGAGAAGGAACUCCGGUUAAAGAUUUUUCCAAGCCUGUACACGUGAUUCCCUUGGAACAAGCAAAGUGUGGUUCCCUCGAGAGGGCCCAGGUCAGGAGUUCGCAAUAGUGGGCUGCAAGAGUUCAUGCUGGGCUACAGUGUCAGGACGAAGAGAGGGUAGUGAUCGCAAAAUCGCAAAAGUUCGGGCACACCCGUAAAAAGUAGCCAAAUGCCUCGUCAUCUAAUUAGUGACGCGCAUGAAUGGAUUAACUAGAUUCCCGCUGUCCCUACCCACUAUCUAGCGAAACCACUGCCAAGGGAACGGGCUUGGAAAAAUUAGCGGGGAAAGAAGACCCUGUUAAGCUUGACUCUAGUCUGG